rnacentral:rRNA from 1 species
CCGGCGCACGGGUGAGUAACACGUAUCCAACCUGCCGUCUACUCUUGGACAGCCUUCUGAAAGGAAGAUUAAUACAAGAUGGCAUCAUGAGUCCGCAUGUUCACAUGAUUAAAGGUAUUCCGGUAGACGAUGGGGAUGCGUUCCAUUAGAUAGUAGGCGGGGUAACGGCCCACCUAGUCUUCGAUGGGUAGGGGUUCUGAGAGGAAGGCCCCCCACAUUGGAACUGAGACACGGUCCAA